rnacentral:rRNA from 2 species
UUGGUGUGAAUUGCAGAAUCCCGUGAACCAUCGAGUCUUUGAACGCAAGUUGCGCCCGAAAGCCUUAUGGCCGAGGGCACGUCUGCCUGGGCGUCA